UACUUACUGCGUGGUUCGCCACCGGAAGCAUCAACAAUUGAGCCAACACUUGAAUUACGGGAGGCUAAUGCCCGAUUUAGUGCAGUCUUCAUACGUGAAGAUCUGCCGGAGGAUCUGGCUUUGAUGUUUCUUCGGAAACAGAAGGCCGCCCACCUGAUCAUACAGGUUCAAUUCAAGCAUCCGGAACGGCCACGCGGUUACCUU
rnacentral:other from 1 species